AGUGAACGCUGGCGGUAGGCCUAACACAUGCAAGUCGAGCGGCAGCACAGUAAGAGCUUGCUCUUACGGGUGGCGAGUGGCGGACGGGUGAGGAAUACAUCGGAAUCUACUUUUUCGUGGGGGAUAACGUAGGGAAACUUACGCUAAUACCGCAUACGACCUACGGGUGAAAGCAGGGGAUCUUCGGACCUUGCGCGAUUGAAUGAGCCGAUGUCGGAUUAGCUAGUUGGCGGGGUAAAGACCCACCAAGGCGACGAUCCGUAGCUGGUCUGAGAGGAUGAUCAGCCACACUGGAACUGAGACACGGUCCAGACUCCUACGGGAGGCAGCAGUGGGGAAUAUUGGACAAUGGGCGCAAGCCUGAUCCAGCCAUACCGCGUGGGUAAAGAAGGCCUUCGGGUUGUAAAGCCCUUUUGUUGGGAAAGAAAAGCAGCAGGUUAAUACCCCGCUGUUCUGACGGUACCCAAAGAAUAAGCACCGGCUAACUUCGUG
rnacentral:rRNA from 1 species